rnacentral:rRNA from 1 species
CCUACGGGAGACUGCAGUGGGGAAUAUUGCACAAUGGGGGAAACCCUGAUGCAGCGACGCCGCGUGAGUGAAGAAGGAUCUCGGUACGUAAAGCUCUAUCAGCAGGGAAGAAAAUGACGGUACCUGACUAAGAAGCCACUGCUAACUACGUGCCAGCAGCCGCGGUAAUACGUAGGGGGCAAGCGGUAUCCGGAUUUACUGGGUGUAAAGGGAGAGUAGACGGCAGCAUAAGUACGGCGUGAAAUCGCGGGGCUAAAACCCCGAACUGCUUUGGAAACUGUGAGGCUGGAGUGCAGGAGGGGUAAGCGGAAUGCCUAGUGUAGCGGUGAAAUGCGUAGAUAUUAGGAGGAACCCCGAUUGCGAAGGCAGCUUAC